GACGAACGCUGGCGGCGUGCCUAAUACAUGCAAGUCGAGCGAAGCGGCGGAUGGGUGAGUAACGCGUGGGUAACCUGCCCUUAAGUCUGGGAUACCAUUUGGAAACAGAUGCUAAUACCGGAUACUUAAGGAUGUACCUGCGAUGCAUUAGCUAGUUGGUAAGGUAACGGCUUACCAAGGCGAUGAUGCAUAGCCGGGCUGAGAGAAUGAUCGGCCACACUGGAACUGAGACACGGUCCAAACUCCUACGGGAGGCAGCAGUAGGGAAUCUUCCACAAUGGACGAAAGUCUGAUGGAGCAACGCCGCGUGUGUGAAGAAGGUUUUCGGAUCGUAAAGCUCUGUUGUUGGUGAAGCGGUAAUCAACCAGAAAGUCACGGCUAACUACGUGCCAGCAGCCGCGGUAAUUC
rnacentral:rRNA from 1 species